GACGGAUGGGCUGGGACGGGUUUGGGGGGGUGUCCCCAAUUCUGACUGGGAAUGGAGGAACCCCCUUCUGAGCUCUCUUGUGGGGGUCCCCCCUCCCUAGGGCACUCCCCACUCCCUGAGCCAGCCGAGAGGAAGGAGGCCAGCGAUGCGACUGGGGCGGCUCCUUUCUCCUGCACCCCAAAUGUGAGGGAUGCACCCCAAAUUUUGCUCCCUUCAAAAUAGGGGACCAGGAUCUCAGGGGAGAGUAGCUGAGGUAAGUGGGGAGGAAAGUGUCCCCUGUUUUCAGGAGAGACGUGGCGGUUGGGGGGGAGGUUUGGAGGUGCGUGUUGGGGUGGGGUUGGGCUUUGUCAGUCCUGGAAGUGGGGGGACGAUUGGAGAGGCUUUCUCUUGUGCCCCUCGAGUGCAGUCCGCCAGGUGGAAACCAAAGGCUGAGUCCCGAAGGCCCCCCAACAUCCCCGGCCGUCAGCAUGGUGUUUGAUUUCUGUUUCACCCCCACAAAGGCUCUGCCGAGAAUUGGGAGCUGGGGGCAGCUGCUCAGUUUGGGGGGCUAUGGAGGGUGGGGUGAGGACCAGGAGGCCCUGGCAGGAUUUGGUAGAGGACAGACAGGGGUCUCAAGGGAGGGGGUCUGGCACCCCCCGGGGCCCAAGCAGACUGCUUACACCCACCAUCUUAGAUCUUUUUGAUUGCUAAGAGUUUUGGGGGGUGUGUCGGCAGGGGGGUGGUGGUAAAGGGUGGAAUGGGACGAAGGAAGACUUCAGGGUUUCAGAGGAUGUUAUUUUGAUUUGUGGAAGGCCUCUGGGCCCCUAGAUUGUGCUUCCUGUGGGGUGCUUCUAAAAAUCAAGUCCUGGGCAGGAGGAAGAGGCUGAGGGGAGGCCUAGGGUGGGGGUGGGGACAGGCAUGUGUGUCUCAGCUUAAACGUGGCUUUCUGGGGUGGGCCCGCCUUCCUGGGCCUGCUGGAUGGGCUGAUGGGGGUGGUCGCAGGGGGCAGGGCGGGGGUCCCGGAGGGCGGCGGGGAGCUGGAACAGUGCUGGGGGUUGAGUACCUGGCCCCCAGGUCCAGGCAGCCCUCUUCCUGGGCCCUGCUGCUCCCCUUUUCCCCCUGGCCUCCAUUUCCUGCCUUGGACCUCCAUCUUGUGGCAGGCCCAGGGCCCAGGGCGACUUCCGGCCCCCCUCUCCCGACCAUGUUCCGGCCCCACCACCUCUGGACUGCCAACUCCCAACCCUGCUGUCCUCGGCCUUCUGUCUCUCCUUGCUUUCUCUUGGGUUCUGACCCAGGGAGGGGAGGGACGGACACAGGAAGCCUCGGGGCCCUGCCCUCGCCGAGUCGGCAGGCAGUGUGUUGGCCCCCACGGUCAUUCCCCGCUUCCUCUGCCCCUGACCCCACCCUAGGGAUCCCCUGAGCAGAGCUCCUGCAGAGGGAAGAUGGCUCCAGUCUUAUCACCACUGCGAGCUCGCCCCAUAGGCCCCCGUCGGCGCCCGGCCCCCGUUUCUUAUUCUUCCCAGCCCCUCUCGGGGCCACGUUUGCCUCGUGAGCCUUGUCUACGUCCCUGCUCUGGGUGCCGGGGUCUUCGCAGCCCCGUCCCGUGCUCUCAACCCACCCCGGUCCUGCCCCCGCCCCAGCAGCACACUGUGGUUUGUACGGCACUGUGGCCACGUCCAAACCACACUGUGGUGUUAGAGCGAGGGUGGGGGACGCACCGCUGAGGCUUGGCCCGGGGAGGCCACCCCGGAGAAGCGACACGGAAAACAUCUGGGCCUUCUUGUGAGGUGUUGUGUGUGUGUGUGGGGGGGGGGGGGAUGAAAGCACUGGAAAUACGCCCCUCUGAGAUCCCCAGGGCAGCCUCAGGAAUACUGACCGCCAGAGACCCUGGGAGCUCAGUUCUGCCUUCGGAGAGCAAAGUGGAGUCUUUGUUGCCCACGCCCAGCUCCCCUGGCUCUAGCAGCACAGAAAUAUUGGCACUGGGAAGAGAGUCUGCCAAUAUUGGCUGUGCUGCUCUAGGCAGGGUGGUGAGAACUUCCAGAAGGGGCUGAGCCCCGUGGGGCUGAGGGGAGAGGCACCCGCCCGUGGCGCUCCAAUGAUGUUAGGCUGCAGGCACGGAGCUGAGAGGAGAAUCUUUAUUGUUUUUGGUAUAAAAACGUCCGUCCGAUGGAGGUCAAAGGGGCUGGGGGUAGACGCUCACACGGGAACAGCGGAGUGCGCAGCCCCAGCAGCCUCGUGGGCCGUGCUCUGCGGGCCCGCUCAGAGUCCCAGGCGAUCCACAGGUCCAGGGUGAACAGUGAGAGGGGUCAGAGGUGGAAGGCUCAGCGAGAGAGCAGAGGAGGGUCAGCAGAGGUCACGAGAAGGCCAGAAUCCAGGGUCAGGCUGUCUGGAACAGGAAGCAAGAUGGGCCGAGACGGGGUGAGCCCCAAGUAUGCCUCCAAGGCGACUCCUACCCCCCCACACCACCCGGCUCUUUGCUGAGCCCGUCCCCCGCCGCGUGGACUGGAGGACCUUCUCUUCCAGAACCUCUGUACGAGGGGGCAGGGGGCUCCUGUGGAGACCCUCCCCUACCAUCCGAGUGAGCACUCCCCCCCCCCACCCCCGCCCCCAGCCCCAUAGCUGGUGUGGGAGGAGGAGGACGCCUACCCUGGUCGAAGUUGAGUUUCUUAGCCGGAGGGGUUUCUCCUAGCCCUUCAAUGUCCACCAGGUCACUAUUGGCGUCCGAGUCGUUCAGAGCGCUGAGUGUCACAUCUGGGGGGUGGGGGGGGUGGGGACAUCAACUGGGUUCUAGGUUCUCCGACCGCCCCCCAGCUUCCCGGAGCUUCGAGCUCCCCCUCCCUCUGCCCUCUCAGCCACUCUCUGGGAACCCUGACGGGGAGAGGAAGGGACAUUUGUCCUUCCCUGGCCCAAGCCCGAUUCUCCCACUGAACCUUCAGCCCCACAGCCCUCACCGGCCUUCUGUUUCUUUACGGGGGGGGCCCCGGCCUCAGGGACACCGGAGCUGCUUGGUGGAGGGGCGGCUGGAGGAGGCGACAAGACACCAGAUGGCACCUUCUUGGGCCCUUUCUUGGGUGACUCGGCCGGAAGAGGGAUGCCGGAGUCUUCGUACACCUUACGCUUCACGGUGGCCUUUAUCUGGGCCCUGAAGAGAAGACAGAGCAGGUUAGGGAGGGAGUCCCGGGGAGACUGAAGGAAGAAGGGAGGGGAGGGAAGGGGUAAUGGGCCAUUCUGAAGGAACACUGGGAGCCCCUCCAUAAGAAUCUGGUUAGGGCCCCGGCCCUUUGGUAGGGUUCUCGUUUUCCUGAGGCUUUGCACGCGCUUAGGGCGGCUGGGAUCUGAAGAGUGGACUCCCUGAGCUGAGUGGCGGAAAGGCCCGAGUCCUAAUUCUCUUCCGGGGCGGAAGGCUCCCAGGUGAACCUUGGUGACCGACCGACAGGUAGAGGGGAACUUAUUAGCGGAUCCCGAUCAACUCGUUCGGAAUCACAAUGUCCCCUCCAAGGAGCCGCGCAAACAACCAGAGAAGUUCCGGUUGUUGGGGAUCUCAGGCGGCCCCCGCCCCGAGAUUAAAUUCUUGGGAGGUCCUGUUACCCCAGCGGUUCAGUUAACUUCUGACCAAACUCUUCGCGGAGGUGCUAACAGAGCCGGCAGCGAGGUAGGAGGGCUGUCGAGCUGGAAGGGAGUUCUCGGGAAGGUGGACCUCGGGCUGGCUCGGGUGCGGUGGAAGACAGUGCCCACCCCCCCUCCUCUGCCGGCCACCCUCCCUCACACUGUCCGUUCCUUGAUGACACAGCUGAUGUGAUUAAGAUCGUCCCCAAACCGCUUCA
rnacentral:lncRNA from 1 species